AAUUAACGUUAGCGGCGUGCCUGAUGCAUGCAAGUCGAACGCCCUGAUAAUUCGUAAGGAUUAUCAGGGAGUGGCGGACGGCUGAGUAACGCGUAAGUGACCUACCUUUAAGUGGGGAAUAACUUGCCGAAAGGCAGGCUAAUACCGCAUGUGCUGGUAAGUUGAGGCUUAUCAGCAAAGUCUUAGGACGCUUGAAGAGGGGCUUGCGUCUGAUUAGCUAGAUGGUUAGGGUAAUGGCUUACCAAGGCGGUGAUCAGUAGCUGGUCUGAGAGGACGAGCAGCCAGACGGGGACUGAGACACGGCCCUGACUCCUACGGGAGGCAGCAGCAAGGAAUUUUGCGCAAUGGGCGAAAGCCUGACGCAGCGACGCCGCGUGGGGGAUGACGGCCUUCGGGUUGUAAACCCCUUUUCUCGAGGAAGAAUAAUGACGGUACUCGAGGAAU
rnacentral:rRNA from 1 species